UUUUUUUUUUGUCUUUUUAGGGCCUCAAACCUGCGUCCUCAUGGAUACUAGUCAAAUUUGUUUCCCCUGAGCCAGGACAGGAACUCCCUUCGAGGAUAUUUGUUUGUUUGAUUGUUUCAUUCUGCUUUUUUUUUUUUUCUAGGGCCACACCCACAGCGUGUGGAGGUUCACAAGCUAGGGGUCCAGUCGGAGCUGUCGCCGCCAGCCUAUACCGUAGCCACAGCCACGCAGGAUCUGAGCUGCAUCUGCACCCUACACCACAGCUCGCAGCAACACUGGAUCCCCAACCCACUGAACCAGGCCAGGGAUCGAAUUGCAACCUCAUGGUUCCUAGUCAGGUUCAUUAACCACUGAGCCAUGACAGGAACUCCGCUUCAAGGAUAUUUGGAAGCAUCUAUAUUUAUGGCCCAUCUCAGAAUGCAAAAGGUUUUUAAAAAUGUAAACCUCUUUGCCUUUUGGAGUGUAAAUAUUUGGGGGCUUAAGAGUCUGAUGCAUCUGUGUGCGACAGAGCUGGUCUCAGCAGGCACCUCACUGGGCUCUCAUGAGGGGAUUUCUUUCACGGAACCGUCUUUGGUAUGUAGCAGGUGUUCGUAGGUGUUAGUCAUUGCCGUUACUGUCUGUAUCACUGCCAUCAUCAGAGCCUGACAAGGCAAGGCUUCCAGGCCUCGCACUGCCAUGAAAGAGUUGGGCGGAGCAAGGCCUGUGCGUUGGGUCUCUGAGCCUCACUUCCUGAGUGGGCAACAUGAAAAUUGAUGCCCGCUUCAAGGGUUGCUGUGACCGUUACACCAGUGUGGAUGGGAAAGCAGUUGUUUCAAGAAGCAUCAAAGGUUAAUAAUACCUGGAACGUUUUCCAGAAGAAAGUUAAAUACAGGAUGGCCUGAUGCGUUCCCCACAGGGUGUACUCUUCGCUUCCGUUUCAUUCGUGUUCAACAAGAUGCGCGUUCAGGCCAUGCUCCAUUUCUGCAGCAAAAAAGGCACUUUGCAGCUAUAUUCUUUGCAUGUGAUGCUGAGUAGUAUUUCAGAGCCAGGCCUUAGAAACUUCAAGGCCUGGGAGUUCCUUCGUGGCUCUGGUUAACGAACCCGACUAGGAUCCGUGAGGACUCAGGUUUGAUCCCUGGCCUCGAACCUGCAUCCUCAGGGAUACUAGUCGCCUUUGUUAACCACUGAGCCAUGAUGGGAACUCAUAUAAUUCCUGAUACAAUGUAAAGGCCAUGUAAAUAGUUGGCAGCACAGGACAAAUUCAAGUUUUGUUUUUUGGAAAUUCGUUUCAAAUAUUUUCCACCCAAAGUUGGUUCAAUCCAUGGAUGAGGUACCCAUGGUUAUGAAGAGAUGACUGUACUAUAAUUACCUGCUCAUGUGGCUGUUUAUCCCACUACUGUGAGGGAUUCUUUUUUUCCUUUUGGCCACCCCUUGCCAUGUGGAAGUUCCCCAGCCCGUGCCACAGCAGCGGCAAUGCCAAAUCCUUAACCCAUUCAGCUCCAGGGAGCUCCCACUGGGGGAUUCUUAACAUAGGAUAUUGUCUUAAUCAUCUCAAUGCCAGCCACUCUCAGGUCAAUUACUAAUGUUUCCUUGACAGUCAUGUACUAAGAGCUGGGCAUGUUUCACCAUUGAUUCCUUGCCAUAAGCCUUUAAUGUAGGCGCUGAGUUGGUGUCACACCACUUUCAACAGAUAAGUGAUCCUCUCCAGGUGACACAGGUAGUAAAUGGUGGAGCCAGUCUCAGGUUUAGCCGUCCUGCCUUCUUUUCUGAGUCCAUGAAGGAAUGGAAAGUCUAGACACAGCUGACGCUGUGGGUCCUGAGCAAGUUCCCUUUCCCAGGCUUAGUUGUAUCACGUUUCGUCAUCUCUUUUUAAGUUUUAGUCAUAUUUUAUUUUUGUUUUUGUCCUUUUAGGGCCGCGCCUGCAGCAUAGGGAAGUUCCCAGGAUGGGGUCUAAUCAAGAGCUGUAGCCACCGGCCUAUGCCACAGCCACAGCCACCUGGGAUCCGAGCCGCGUCUUCAACCUACACCGCAGCUCACAGCAACACUGGAUUCCCAAGCCACUGGGCGAGGCCAGGGAUCAAACCCACAACUUCAUGGUUCCUAGUCGAAUAUGUUUCUGCUGCACCAUGAUGGGAACUCCUGUACCCUUGUCUUUAAGAGAUAAAACCUCCUUAGAAGAUUAGAAAGGCGGACUCUUCUUCCCCUUCCCAGUGUCCGUGCUGGCAGCUAUUUGCUUUCCUGUAAUAAAGACUUGCUUGCUCGCGGCCUGUGUUCGUGAAGUUCAUUCUUAAGCUCUGUGAACAAGAACCCAGAUUCCAGUAAUAUCUUUCCCAUGUCGCUACCAUUACUGAUUUCACUUCUCACUAAAAUGGUACUCCUUUCCCCAGCGUGCCUAACUUCACUAAUGUUUAAUUCUGAAAAUCAGUUUGUUUGGGUUAAUUAAUUAGAAACUUACUUUUGAGACCCUACAUAUAACCACUACUACUCUGGGCAGUGGGGGAUACAGAGACUGAUAAAACACAAAAAUCAUUACCCUCACGGAGCUUUCAUGCAAUUAGUUAAACCAGUAAAUUCUUUGGUAAGGAAAUGAAGGAUUCGGGGUUGUCAGGCCCAUUGGGGGGCAGGCGCUGCCUCCCUGAGGCGGCCCACCGUGGACCGGGGCUGACGGCGCUGCGGGCGCAGGGCUGGCGGGGUGUCCCCACCACGAGCGCUUCUCCCCUGGGCUUGGCUGCUGAGCUGCAGCUGCCGCGACUCCAUCUUUACCUUCCCGCUGGCGAUGCGGGCGAGCGGGGCAGCCCCAGGGGCUCCGGCCUUGGUUCCCGAGAAGCACUCACCUAUCCGCACAACCUGCCGCCCCCGGACAGGGCACCAACUCCCUAGCCUUGAAGCGCGGCUGGCGGACCCGAGUCGCCGACGCUUGGGUCGAACCGGACCGAGGGCCCGAGUGCGGGAGCCAAGCCGGGCGCCCGCCCCGCCCCUGCGGCAAC
rnacentral:lncRNA from 1 species